rnacentral:lncRNA from 10 species
AGCUUAGAGCAGAGUUUCUCAAGAGCUGCAAUACUGGCAUUUGAGUCAAGUCGUUCUUUAUUGUUGGUGGUGGAGGGGGCACCCUGUAUAUUGUAGGACGUUGGGCAGCAUCUCUGACUUCUACCUACUAGAUGCCAGUAUCUCAGUUUUCUUAAAAGACUUUUUUUUUUUUUUUUUUUUUUUUGAGAUGGAGUCUUGCUGUGUUGCCUAGGCUGGAGUGCAGUGGCACCAUGUCGACUCACUGCAACCUCCGCCUCCCCGGUUCAAGCGAUUCUCCUGCCUCAGCCUCCUGAGUAGCUGGGAUUACAGGUGAGCACCACCAUGCCCAGCUAAUCGUAAAAGACUUUUCAUAAAACUUCAGAACUCCUUAAAAACUAGUGAAUAGCCAAGGUGAAGAAAGCCCUCAGGCUUCUGACUUUAGACCCCAAUCCCUGGGACUCCCACACUCAGCAAAGAAAGCUGGGUGCCUGCACCCUGGAUCUCUGAGCAAACCUGUCUUAUGGCUGUGGGCAACUCAGGAACAUGAAUUAGCACGAGAAUCUGGAGUUUUUCUUUCCUUUUCUGGUAAGACACUUGUGGUUUUUUUUUUUCAAAUUCCAAUUGGAAAUUUGCUUUACAUGAACAACAAACAAACUUGAUACUCUUUUAGUGGAGGCAUUAUUUGUUCCUUUAUUUUUUGCACUUAAACAGACAGGCAGUAUGCUUUCUCUGUGUGGAGACCAAGGUCUGUUAAAGGGCUGCUUUUCACGGAAGCUUCACUAAUUUAUACUCAUGGCUGACAUACUCACCUUGUGGGGCUGACACACCGAACCUAACUGAAUAUUGUCCCAUUAACAAAACUAAUGUAUUACGUGUAAGGCACCAGUAAUUAACCUUUAAACUUCGGUUUUGAACAACUCUCAUUUUUAACCUUUAUUUAAGUGUCAUAGUUGUCUUACCUCCUCUUGGCAUUUUUUUUUUAAAGCUCUUCCUAGAUUAAUUGCAUGUUGUAACUCCCUUUUUCCAUUCAAGACAGUUUUGUUUUACGUGC